CACUUUUAAGCGUGUAUUUUACACACUGUGUGUAAAAACUUUUAAGAAGUGUGUAUUCUACACACUUUUAUGUUUGCACAAAAAAUGUCCAACUACACACUUUUGGGAAAAAGAAAACAUUUGUUGAAAUAAUAAAUUUAAAAUGACCGCCUAAACUUUAACGGUGGCUCUUUAUCAACAAAGAUACUUUAUCUAGAAUGUUAGUGUCUGGAAUGAUAAUUUUUUGCAACAAGUACGAAAAG